rnacentral:rRNA from 1 species
AUUCCAGCUCCAAUAGCGUAUAUUAAAGUUGUUGCAGUUAAAAAGCUCGUAGUUGAAGUUCUGGCUGUUCGGUCCUCGCGCUCUGUAGCCGAGGAAUCGACAGUCAUCCGCUUGCAAAUAUAUGUUCUCCUUUAAUCGGGAGGCUAUAUGAGUAAGCAUUUUACCUUGAGAAAAACAGAGUGUUCCAGGCAGGUAUGUCCGGAAUGCGUUAGCAUGGAAUAAUAGAAUAUGACUGAAGUCGAUUUAUUGGUUUGAGGCUUUAGUAAUGAUUAAUAGGAACAGUCGGGGGCAUUGGUACUUGACAGUCAGAGGUGAAAUUCUAGGAUUUGUCAAAGACUAACAAAUGCGAAAGCAUUUGCCAAGGAUGUUUUCAUUA